GACGUAGGGUCCGAGCGUUGUCCGGAGUUACUGGGCGUAAAGGGCGCGUAGGCGGCUUUGUGCGUCACCCGUGAAAGCCCCCGGCUCAACCGGGGAGGGUCGGGUGAAACGGCGGAGCUGGAGGCAGCGAGAGGCUGGUGGAAUUCCCGGAGUAGUGGUGAAAUGCGUAGAUAUCGGGAAGAACACCCGUGGCGAAGGCGGCUCUCUGGGACGGUACUGACGCUGAGACGCGAAAGCGUGGGGAGCGAACAGG
rnacentral:rRNA from 1 species